rnacentral:rRNA from 1 species
CGCGUAGGCGGUUUGAUUAGUUAGGCGUGAAAUUCCUGGGCUCAACCUGGGGGCUGCGCUUAAUACAGUCAGACUAGAGUGUGAGAGAGGGUUGUGGAAUUUCCAGUGUAGAGGUGAAAUUCGUAGAUAUUGGAAAGAACACCGGUGGCGAAGGCGGCAACCUGGCUCAUUACUGACGCUGAGGCGCGAAAGCGUGGGGAGCAAACA